rnacentral:rRNA from 1 species
AUCCUGGCUCAAGGAUGAACGCUAGCGGCAGGCUUAACACAUGCAAGUCGAGGGGCAGCAUGAUGAAACUUUCGGGUUUCAUUGAUGGCGACCGGCGCAAGGGUGCGUAACGCGUGAGCAACUUGCCCUUAUCAGGGGGAUAACCGGUGGAAACGCCGACUAAUACCCCAUAGUAUCAACUUUAGGCAUCUUUAGUUGAUUAAAGAAUUUCGGAUAAGGAUAGGCUCGCGUGACAUUAGCUAGAUGGCGGGGUAACGGCCCACCAUGGCGACGAUGUCUAGGGGUUCUGAGAGGAAGGUCCCCCACACUGGAACUGAGACACGGUCCAGACUCCUACGGGAGGCAGCAGUGAGGAAUAUUGGUCAAUGGUCGAAGGACUGAACCAGCCAUGCCGCGUGAAGGUGACGGCCCUAUGGGUCUUAAACUUCUUUUGUAAGGGAGCAAUAAGGUCUACGUGUAGGCUGAUGAGAGUACCUUACGAAUAAGCAUCGGCUAACUCCGUG